GCCUCUGUGAUGGAGAGGGUAGGGCAGUGGGUGGGGCAGGGGGAGAUGGCCUCUGUGAUGGAGAGGGCAAAGAUGAGAUCAAGUCCAGGUCUCUGGCAGUGAGCGUCACUGAAGUCCUGCCGCCUGUCAGCCUGGGUCACAGCACUCCUGCUCCUUGGCCCUGGUGGCCUCUAUUCUGCCCCUGUGCAUUCUCUGUCUCCACCACGAUGCAUGGACCCCAUUUUCUCCCACCGCUCUGUGCCGGCUAAUGGUCCACAGUGAUUCACGUGUAGCGUGAGGACCAGCUUUCUUCCCAAGUGUUGCAGACCAUGCACACGCUCCUUCAGCCUCUUUCCUCACACACCCCAGCUCCUGCCCUCCCAUGUGCUCUGCCGUACAGAGAUCCAUGCUGCACCUGUCAUUCGGCUCCUGA